ACGAACGCUGGCGGCGCGCCUAACACAUGCAAGUCGAACGAGCGAGAGAGAGCUUGCUUUCUCGAGCGAGUGGCGAACGGGUGAGUAACGCGUGAGGAACCUGCCUCAAAGAGGGGGACAACAGUUGGAAACGACUGCUAAUACCGCAUAAGCCCACGACCCGGCAUCGGGUAGAGGGAAAAGGAGCAAUCCGCUUUGAGAUGGCCUCGCGUCCGAUUAGCUAGUUGGUGAGGUAACGGCCCACCAAGGCGACGAUCGGUAGCCGGACUGAGAGGUUGAACGGCCACAUUGGGACUGAGACACGGCCCAGACUCCUACGGGAGGCAGCAGUGGGGAAUAUUGCACAACGGGGGAAACCCUGAUGCAGCGACGCCGCGUGGAGGAAGAAGGUCUUCGGAUUGUAAACUCCUGUUGUUGAGGAAGAUAAUGACGGUACUCAACAAGGAAGUGACGGCUAACUACGUG
rnacentral:rRNA from 1 species